GAUGAACGCUGGCGGCGUGCUUAACACAUGCAAGUCGAACGGAAAGGCCCAAGCUUGCUUGGGUACUCGAGUGGCGAACGGGUGAGUAACACGUGGGUGAUCUGCCCUGCACUUCGGGAUAAGCCUGGGAAACUGGGUCUAAUACCGGAUAGGACGAUGGUUUGGAUGCCAUUGUGGAAAGUUUUUUCGGUGUGGGAUGAGCUCGCGGCCUAUCAGCUUGUUGGUGGGGUAAUGGCCUACCAAGGCGUCGACGGGUAGCCGGCCUGAGAGGGUGUACGGCCACAUUGGGACUGAGAUACGGCCCAGACUCCUACGGGAGGCAGCAGGGGGGGAUAUUGCACAAUGGGCGCAAGCCUGAUGCAGCGACGCCGCGUGGGGGAUGACGGCCUUCGGGUUGUAAACUCCUUCCGCUAGGGACGAAGCGUUUUUGUGACGGUACCUGGAGAAGAAGCACCGGCUAACUACGUG
rnacentral:rRNA from 1 species